rnacentral:rRNA from 1 species
CCUACGGGUGGCAGCAGUGAGGAAUAUUGGUCAAUGGACGAGAGUCUGAACCAGCCAAGUAGCGUGAAGGAUGACUGCCCUAUGGGUUGUAAACUUCUUUUAUAUGGGAAUAAAAUGUUACACGUGUGGGCUUUUGUAUGUACCAUAUGAAUAAGGAUCGGCUAACUCCGUGCCAGCAGCCGCGGUAAUACGGAGGAUCCGAGCGUUAUCCGGAUUUAUUGGGUUUAAAGGGAGCGUAGGUGGAUUGUUAAGUAAGUUGUGAAAGUUUGCGGCUCAACCGUAAAAUUGCAGUUGAAACUGGCAGUCUUGAGUACAGUAGCGGUGGGCGGAAUUCGUGGUGUAGCGGUGAAAUGCUUAGAUAUCACGAAGAACUCCGAUUGCGAAGGCAGCUCACUGGACUGCAACUGACACUGAGGCUCGAAAGUGUGGGUAUCAAACAGGAUUAGAUACCCCGGUAGUC